ensembl:lncRNA
CUGUGAGUUUCCCAUCACGUCGUAGCUACUCGGUGCUUGCUCGGAAGUUUAGGGGUUUUUUUCGCUGUAAAAAGAAGUUUUCUUCCCACGCACGAUGGACGCUAAUGUUUUUGUCACUUUUUAUGGAAUCAAACUCAAAGUAAGAGGCAAAGUCACCCGCUACAAUGGAGGCAACAGAAAAUAGAGUCCACCAGAAGCUCUCAGUCUGCUGUGGAAAAAUGGGUGAUCACCUGAGGCCUUCAUUACUGUGUGAACUUUACCCACACACCACUCUUCACUGCUCCCACCUGCUGGACAGUCGCACAGUAUAAACCUGCUGAUUCAUGUAAAGGGAGAGGCAGUAAAACCAGAAAAACAGCUUCAGGAAGAGGCGGAGCAACACCUGAAAGACGAGAAGUUCAAGGUCAUUUUCCAGAAGUGAAAGUGUGUGAGAGCAGUAGCAGACCUGCAGUCAAGACCUGUUAGUCUCUAAAAGAAAACUCACUGGAGUCCAUCAGGUUUCUCUCAGCAACAGUGUUGAGUGCAUUUUCUGUUUCUACACAAAUCUUCAGUUUACUCUGCUCACUUCAUGCUGACUCAUCACAGUCGCAUUGGUUCCAUAGAAAUCUGCUCAUGUAGCCACAGAUCCACUGUAGAAACAUUGAGCUGCUGUGUGAAACAGUCUCACUGUGGUCACUUGAAACCUGGUUGCAGCAGGAUGAUUAUGUUACGUACAUGACCGACCAACGCGACCACGACAUGGACACAGCAGACUCUGAAAGAGCGAGAGAUGUCUUUCGCCUCCUACGGCUGUGGCAGCGCAUUUCCCACACCUCGGAUAAACGGACUUUAUCUAUUGGAAUUAAUGCCAUUGAGGCAAUUUUUCUGGAUAACCCUCACCUGCGCCAGCUACCCAUAGCUUCAGAGUUUGCCCAUAAUCUGGC